rnacentral:lncRNA from 1 species
GUUUACUUAAAUAAACUAUACAGGAAACAUUAUUGUCUUUGUGAAAGCAAUUGUAAAACUCGGUAAACUAAUGACCCUAAGAUAGCGCAUGGCCAAAGGAUGAGAACGCAUUGUCUUCCCUCCUUCUCGAUGAGGGCUCCAAGUCCACUCUGAGCUCCAGCGGACCACAGAGCCUGCAGGUGGAAUACACUAGGGACCCUGAGUUUUCAUUGAAUCGGUGACAACAUGAUUUGACUAACUGGAUAAUCAAGUUAUUAUUCAAGGUAUUACCUCUUUAUACUACAAUUUUCUCAUCUAUAGAAGUGGUGGACUAGA